rnacentral:rRNA from 1 species
AUGAAGUUUUCGGAUGGAUUUAAAGCAGCUUAGUGGCGGACGGGUGAGUAACGCGUGGGUAACCUGCCUCACACUGGGGGAUAACAGUUAGAAAUAGCUGCUAAUACCGCAUAAGCGCACGGUUCCGCAUGGAACAGUGUGAAAAACUCCGGUGGUGUGAGAUGGACCCGCGUCUGAUUAGCCAGUUGGCGGGGUAACGGCCCACCAAAGCGACGAUCAGUAGCCGGCCUGAGAGGGUGAACGGCCACAUUGGGACUGAGACACGGCCCAAACUCCUACGGGAGGCAGCAGUGGGGAAUAUUGCACAAUGGGGGAAACCCUGAUGCAGCGACGCCGCGUGAGUGAAGAAGUAUUUCGGUAUGUAAAGCUCUAUCAGCAGGGAAGAAAGUGACGGUACCUGAAUAAGAAGCCCCGGCUAACUACGUGCCAGCAGCCGCGGUAAUACGUAGGGGGCAAGCGUUAUCCGGAUUUACUGGGUGUAAAGGGAGCGUAGACGGCAAGGCAAGUCUGAAGUGAAAGCCCGGUGCUUAACGCCGGGACUGCUUUGGAAACUGUUUGGCUGGAGUGCCGGAGAGGUAAGCGGAAUUCCUAGUGUAGCGGUGAAAUGCGUAGAUAUUAGGAAGAACACCAGUGGCGAAGGCGGCUUACUGGACG